GGCCGCAUGGCCCAAUGGCAAGGCGUCUGACUACGAAUCAGGAGAUUGCAGGUUCGAGCCCUGCUGUGGUCA
rfam:Verticillium longisporum isolate VL1 genome assembly, contig: scaffold_20